rnacentral:rRNA from 1 species
AUGAAGGUGGGCAAGUUCCAAUCAACAAAAGAUAAGGCAUUAAAAAGAGCUUCAGAUUGGAUUGAAAAAUAUGUCUCAAGUGCUAUAAAAGAAAAUCAAAUCAAGGCAGUGUUGCAAGCACUACCAGUGUAUGCCAUGGGUAUCUUUAAAUUCCCAGCUUCCUUAUGUGAUGAUUUGGCUCAGAUUAUAAGAAAUUAUUGGUGGGGAGAUGAAGAAGACAGAAGGAAAACACAUUGGCUAGCGUGGGAUAAACUCACUAAACCAAAACGAGAGGGAGGCAUGGGCUUCCGAGAUCUUAGGUUAUUUAAUCAAGCUCUUUUGGCUAAGCAGGCGUGGAGGUUACUGGUGAGUCCAGAUUCAUUAUGUGCUAAGGUUUUGCGGGCCAAAUACUAUCCCAAUGGUCACAUCUUGGAUACUGCAUUCCGCAAGCUACUUCCGUGA